AUUGCUUCCAAGCCUGAAAAACUACGAAUAGGCAGAUCUAGUGUCCUCCCUGUCGUCAUUAAAUCAGAGAGAAAAACACAAUUAACACAGGCAAAGGAAAAGGAAGCACGUGCUGUUGUUCACAAUAUGAAACAAGACUGUGAAAAAACCAGUGUCAACUUGGGUCAGAUUAAUCCCUGUGCAUAUGGAAGGACUCCUAGGGGAGAUGUGUGUCAUUCAGUAUGCAAAGGAAAAACAGAUCAAAACCUAUCAAGUGAGACAGACUGUAUUCAAGUAUCUUUGUCUCUGCUAGACCAGACACCUGCAAUCCAAAGACUGAAUCAGAUAAAGUCUCAUGUCAAUGAAGACAAUUACCCGAUAUACAAAAUCAAAAAAGGAAUCUUGCUGCAGACAAAUCAGAAGUACCUACUUGAGAAGGUUAGAGAAAAUGGGAGAUCAGUGGGCCAAUUCUACUCUCAGUUACAUUGGUUUAAAUCCAGAGUAACUCGUUUGGUUUUAGUGAAGUUACUGUGGAUUUACAGAGGUGUGAUUUAGAGGAGAAUCUGGUUCUCCGAGAUUAUACAUAGCUUAAAAGGACAUAAUUAACUGAAAUUUGUCCCAAAUUUUACAUUGUCUAAACACAAUUUUUUUAUAAAACCAAAGACCAAGAGAAAAUUUAUGUCAUUUUUUAAUAUGAUGAAAACUUGUAUUUUAAACAAAUAAGCUCUCCUCUGCAGUAUAUGAAACCCAAACAUUGCAAUACUGAGGGCCUGAUCCAAAUCUAUUGACAUCAGUGGGAGUGCUUCCAUUGAUUUCAGUGGGUUUUGGACUGGACCUUAAGAAUGUGCAAGUGAAACUGACCAGAAACAA